rnacentral:misc_RNA from 2 species
CCGAGUAAUCCGUAGCCAACACAUAAGCAACUUGAAGUAUGAAG